CGCGCUACACUGAUGCAUGCAACGAGUUCUUGACCUUGGCCGGAAGGUCUAGGUAAUCUUUUGAGUGUGCAUCGUGAUGGGGAUAGAUUAUUGCAAUUAUUAAUCUUCAACGAGGAAUGCCUAGUAGGCGUAAGUCAGCAGCUUGCGCCGAUUACGUCCCUGCCCUUUGUACACACCGCCCGUCGCUGCAACCGAUCGGAGGGUCCUGUGAACUCAAUGGACUGAUCAACUCCUUUUUGGGUGUUGGUCGGGAAGUUGCGUAAAUAGAGCCCUCUAAAGGAUGCAAAAGUCGUAACACGGUUUCCGUAGGUGAACCUGCGGAAGGAUCAUUC
rnacentral:rRNA from 1 species